CAAAACUUACAAAUUGUUAACAUUUUUUCUUAAGAGUAUAAAAUGAAGCUAGAUCCAGUAGCACAGACUUGUAAUUCCAGCAACUCUGGAGGCCAGGACAGGAGGAUCCUGAAUUUGAAGCCAGCCUCAGCAACUUACUAAAAACUGAGGCCCAGAAGGUUAAGUGGCUGCUCAAGACUCUUCAGGUGGCAAAAAAACUAAAACCUGAACCCACCUGUGACUCCUAAGCCACUCUAUCCCACUCUAUCCACCAGGCCAGGCCCCUAAACAAGGAGGGAGAGGCUAGAGAUUCGGGAAGCUACCAGAAAGCGACUAUGCCAGUUCUACUGUGCUGCUCUUUGAACACACACCCACUUGGUUAUGCCACAGGUUGUCAGGGAAAGGCGAGCAGGGUGCCACUCACUUCUGUCAGCAUUACUUAACUCAUAGAUAAUGGUGUCAUCACAAAAUGAAAAACAGCGAAUCUGCUCGAGCUUGCCUAGACCCUCUCUGAAAAGGGACGAGGAAUGUACUUGGUGAGUGGGAGCUUUUACCUUUUGUAUUUUAACUUUGAAUCUCGUGACUUUUACUGUUUAAAAAAAUUAACACUGAACAUAUAUAAGUUUUAUUUUCAUCUUAGAAAUAAGAGAAUGAAGAUUAAAUUCAAAGAAAACUUACAUAAUUCUGUGACCCAAAGAUGACCACCAGUAUGUGGACACAAUACCUUGGUGGACCAUUUGGCUUUAAAAUGGGGGUCCGUGCUGGUAUACAUCACGGAGUGCUUGCUGAGCACGCCAAGGCCCUGGGUUGAUCCCCAGCACCACAAAAAGGAGAAAAAAAAUUUUUGAAAACGGGUUCUAUGAUAAAUAUAAAAGCAUGAUCUGUUCUUCACUACAGUAGCCCUGAGGGCAGCUUCCCGCAGCAGGAGCCCACCUCAUGGUGGACUGCUCACGUACUCAUCUCUCCUUAGUAACCAAACCCUAAUUCCAUGUGAUGUACCAAUCUUGGUUGU
rnacentral:lncRNA from 1 species